rfam:Pan troglodytes isolate Yerkes chimp pedigree #C0471 (Clint) chromosome 4, whole genome shotgun sequence.
AUCCUUCCGUAGUUCGUGAGCAUGAUGAUUGGGUGCUCACACACGUGUGAGAUGUGCCACCCUCAAACCUUGUUACAAUGUCGGCACAUUACCCAUCUGACC